UUGCAAAUCUGGCCAAAUCCCGAGGCACUCGGGAACGGAGGACCCAAUCAGUAGGGGUUAAUCCCACGAAUUGUCGUGGGAGGGAUGAGAAACUCUUUCGCCAUCCUACCCGUCAGCUAACUUCGUCGGCUAAAGCGAGGGAGGUC
rnacentral:sRNA from 1 species